GUACCGAUUUUUCGCAUGGCCGGCGCUCUUUCUCGUAAUUAAUAUGCACAAGUUCGAGAUAUAAUGCACGCAUCAACAGCUUGAAGAAACCAUUCCAAGGUGUUCACCAGAGCCAUAAUCAGUGAUGGCACUGAGCAGGAAAUACAAACCUGUAUAAUACCAGGAGCAGGAGUGGGCACAACUGCAGUGGAAGCAGCAGCUGAUUCGUCCUCAUCAUCUUCGCCUUCACAGUGAUCAGCAAUAGUGGAAGGUGGUUUGGCUGGUGAGGAA